rnacentral:rRNA from 1 species
AACGAACGCUGGCGGCAUGCCUAACACAUGCAAGUCGAACGAGACCUUCGGGUCUAGUGGCGCACGGGUGCGUAACGCGUGGGAACCUGCCCUUAGGUUCGGAAUAACUCCCCGAAAGGGGUGCUAAUACCGGAUAAUGUCUUCGGACCAAAGAUUUAUCGCCUUUGGAUGGGCCCGCGUUGGAUUAGCUAGUUGGUAGGGUAAAAGCCUACCAAGGCGACGAUCCAUAGCUGGUCUGAGAGGAUGAUCAGCCACACUGGGACUGAGACACGGCCCAGACUCCUACGGGAGGCAGCAGUGGGGAAUAUUGGAAAAUGGGCGAAAGCCUGAUCCAGCAAUGCCGCGUGAGUGAUGAAGGCCUUAGGGUUGUAAAGCUCUUUUAACCGGGAUGAUAAUGACAGUACCGGGAGAAUAAGCCCCGGCUAACUCCGUG